UACGUAGGGUGCGAGCGUUAAUCGGAAUUACUGGGCGUAAAGCGUGCGCAGGCGGUGAUGUAAGACAGAUGUGGAAUCCCCGGGCUUAACCUGGGAACUGCAUUUGUGACUGCAUCGCUGGAGUGCGGCAGAGGGGGAUGGAAUUCCGCGUGUAGCAGUGAAAUGCGUAGAUAUGCGGAGGAACACCGAUGGCGAAGGCAAUCCCCUGGGCCUGCACUGACGCUCAUGCACGAAAGCGUGGGGAGCAAACAGG
rnacentral:rRNA from 1 species